AACCACCUCCGGUGGUCAUUCGUAAAAAUUGGAACGCAUACAGAGAAGAUAGCAUGGCCUCUGCGCCAGGGAUGACACUCAUUAAUCGAGAAGUAUCGCACUUUUUG
rnacentral:snRNA from 1 species